UCUGUCUUAUUUUCUUUGCAGCAUUGAUCACAAUUGGAAAUAACUUGUUCAAAUUUUUUAUUAUCUAUUUUUCCCCACUAGAAUGAAACUCUAUGAGAACAAGAUUCUUGCCCAUUGUUCACCUGUGUAUUCCUCGUGCUCAGAAUAUGUCUUGAUUCUUGGCUUCUCUGGUUGCACCCAAUAGUCAUUCUUUGGAACAUUGUAUAUGAAUUAAUAUUCCUGGGGAUUACAUCGAACACAGAAAUCCGAGGACGGGGUCUGACUCACACGGCUCUGCCACCUACCAGCUAACUGACCCAGCACGUCACUUCACCCUCUGCCUCUAGUUCUGCAUGGGGGAAAAUGGAGAUGACGAAACCAGGCCUCAGUGAGGUAAAUUGAUAACGCCCAGGGACACAUAGCAGGUGAACAGCAGACCAGAAAUAAAUCCAAGUUUCCUGACCUGGACCACGUUCCACACCUGCUACCAUGGAAACUUGCAGACAGACCCACAAACAACAGCAGCCAACUCCGAGGAUCUCGCUAUUUGAUAAAAGCAGUGAAGACUAAACCAAGGGGACUAGAGCCUGGAGGUUAAACGAGAUACCAGAGGUGGGGCCUUCAGACUGUCUGCUGUGCCUGAGAUGCUGUUUCCUCCUGGAAAUCCUUGUCAACCUGUAGUUGAAGAUGGCCUCUCGUUGUAGCUUAAUGUGCACUGCUCUUGUCGUGAGGAAGGAUGGCCAUCUGGUUGUUCCUAUGCCGUUUGUUGAAUAAUACGUUGUUCUCCAACUGAUCUGGCCACAUCCUAAAUUUCUGUGCAUAUGUAAUAUAUUGUUGGACA